rnacentral:rRNA from 1 species
GUGCACCAGGCAAGAAACUGGCCAAUGCGCGAAAGCGUGAGCCGGCUAAUCUGAGUGGUUCCCCAUCGGGAACCUUUUGCCAAGUGUACAAAGCUUGGCGAAUAAGGAGAGGGCAAGGCUGGUGCCAGCCGCCGCGGUAAAACCAGCUCUUCGAAUCGUGGGCAUGAUUAUUUGGCUUAAAGUGUGCGUAGCAGGACAGGAUAAGUCUCCUGUGAAAUGCCAGGUCUUAAGCCUGGCGCGUGCGGGAGAUACUAUCCGUCUUGGGACCGG